UCUCAACAAGAAACUUUAAAGACAGGUCUUCCUCCAACAUAAAGUCAAGGUCUUUGUAUGAGCAAACUAAUUCUACUGGCCUUUUAUGUAAUGUAUGGAGUUAGGGCAAGGAAUGAAACCAGGCAGGGUUCUGCUAAAAAGGUUUUUCGUUGUCGUCUUGUAGCUUUAAAAUUGUCUGAUCAGGUGACAAUCGAUAAGCAUAAAGGUGUAUAUUUAACAUGGCAACUUUAGAAAGUUUGUUUGAAUGCCUCCCACUGCACAGUCCAUGCUGAUAAAUCACUGGCUGUAGUUUCUAUAAGGCAACAUUGUUGUAGUUCAACUAUACCCCAAUAUUAUGAAUUCAGAGUACCGUCACAGUGGAUUAGUGUCCUACUGGUUUAGUGUCUUCAGCCACCAGUGCAAUGGCUCCCUCAAUAAUGGGAUUACCACGAUCAGCAAGCUUUGUGUCAACAAGCUUGUGAGGCCACAGUGUCGGUGAAAUCCCUUUAACUUGCCGGUGCUUCCCGUGCUACAGGUGCCCAUGGGCCAAGGUUUCUGUCCUCUAACCCUUUGGGUCUAUUAUGAUGCUAGCAGGGAGAUUAUGAGUAAAUGGUGAAUAUCCUCAUCAUUAUGGGUCCAUCACCAUCCACUGCACAAUGAUAUGAACAUGAAAAAUGCAAUUCCUUUUAUUUGACUCCUGUGAAAUAAAAGUCUCAAUGCACUGGGAUGGAAUUCAGUCAGAUCAUGAAGAGAAGGGCCCAAAUCCUGGAAGAUGUCGAACUCCUCGAAUGACGUGAAUAGUGUUGGGUUUCAUCUCGGACAUGAAGCCGCUCCUGCAGCUUUGCUUUCAGCUCCAGUUAGUGCUGAAUCAUCUGUGAAGACCACAUGUGUUUUCAUUGUGUGGGAGCUGUCAAUCUUUUCUAUAAUUCCAUUUGAAUUUCAAACCAUAUUAUUGUUUAUAUUCAAAUUAUUAGUCUAUUAUUUAGGGGUGCAACGGAUCACAAAACUCAUGGUUCGGAUUGUGUCACGGUUUUUGAGUCACGGGUCGGAUCAUUUUCGGAUCAACAACAACAAUAAAGAUAACAAGACAAAUGUGACUUUAAAUAAAAUCUUCAAAUGUGUAAAAACAAAAUAAAGUGAACAAUUAGCGAGAAGUCUACAACCAAACAUAAACGCGUCCGGUUCCGGUUUCUGCUUCAAUGGGAUUUACGGGACGCCAAAUAAAACACAACAGAAACUGUAUUUCGCUACGAUACUUGAUGAUGUUGUAAUACUGGAAUAGUCCUUUAAACAUGCGCUGAUCAUGUGAACGCGCAACUUUUUUUUUAUCAGCCGAUCCGCGGAUCACUUGCUUCCCGAACCGUGAGGGUUGAUCCGUACAGAUCACGGGUAACCCGUGAACCGUUGCACCACUACUAUUAUUACUAUGUACCUAUACACAGUAUACACAGGCUUAUGUCAGAGUCUCCGUUGUCUGGUAAUUACCGGUCAUUGACCGGAAAAAAAAUGAGGAGGACCGGAAAUUCUAAAUGUCUCCGAUCAGAAUGACCAAUGGAAAUAAUUCUCUCUGCGCAAUUUGAAUUGUGUUUAAAUAUGAUACUGUGGUCAUUUCUUUAGCCAAUUCAUCUAAAACAAUGAGGGUUUCGAUUGACCCGACCCGGCCAGACCUGCAGGCCGGGUCGUGCCGUUAUUUCCCACCACUAUCCUCGAUUUGUGUCUGGCCGGGCAUUUGAUCGAGCAUUUGUGUUUUUUUUAAUCAUUGCUUUAUUGGCCUAAUCUGAAGAGAAAUCUAUGCCAUAAACAGAAAUAUUAUAGGCCUUUAUUACACGGGUCUUCUCAAUGCCAUGGAACGCUCCGUUCACUAGCAUGGGUAGUAAGUAGUUCAGUAACUUGUCAACCCCUGCGUCUUUGGCGGACUAUUUCGCUGCUGAUCAACACUACGAAUGCUGGUAACGAAUAAUUUGUAAAAAGACACACCAUGUGAAGUUAUUUUUUCAUUUUGGCAAGUAGCUGUGUAAUAAGCGGGAUAAUGUAUAGAACGUCGCCGGUCAUUAUCGAAAAUA